CUCAUGGUAUGUAUCUUGCCUCUUGCUGAGAAAGGUAGAGGAGAGAAGAAUGUGAGAGCAGAAGAUGGGGCAAGGUCAUAGUGCAAGUGAGUGCAGGACAUAGGUGGACACCAGGAAGAUCACUGGACCAGAAACCAGAGCACCUGGUUCCCAUUUAUUAGUUCUUUUCAUUUGGUCGCAAGUAACACCAUUUCUCUGAUCCUAAAUGGCAUUAAUUUUACCUGUUCCACUGCACCAAAAAUACGUUUUCAAGUCAAAUGAGCUAAUGUAUGGGAAAGAUUUAUACAUGUAUUUAUAUAUGCAUCUAUUACAGCUAUUACCACUAUCAAGACUUUACAAGCACAAGCCUAGUUUAGUCCAAUAGAGAUGGAGUUGUGUGAACCUGUGAACUUAAGAGAUACAUCAAAUACCAACAUUGAAAGGAUAUUGUCACCAAAUGCCACAGUCUACUUUAUGUUGCCCACUUUGUUCUCUCAGUCUUAUCCAUUAGAGCUGCACAAUUAGAGGCCACUGUUGCUAUAACAAAGCAUCAAUAGCCAGUUUAAAUUCAAACCAUAAUCUGUGUGAAAAUGUGUUGCUUUAACCAGGUUAUGGUGAUCAAUAUGGAAUUAAAAUCUACAAGUUCAAAUGAGACUUCGAGUUAUUCUCUGAGUGAAGAUUUAGCAACAAAGACUGCCGAGUAUUUAAUCAAAAGGUGAUUCAUGGUUUUAAUCCUAUGUUAUUAUUCCUUCUUCUAGCUUUAGGAAUGUUUUAGUAAUCAAAAUGUCUACAUGGAAGACAAAUAAUUUGAAAGUCUUGAGUUAUUGGAGGUUCACAAAUUAUAUAAGCAAGCUACAUUUAAGCAUAAUUAAUAGCAUAUAUUGUAUUGUGAUUAAUGGGUUGAGGGAAUGGCAGAAGAAAAUAUUUUUCUUUUUUCCAAUAAAAAGAGAAACAUCUAUGUAUAUAUACUAUUGACUUUAAUGUAUUUGUGGAUCAGAAAAAAAGCAUUAUCAUUACACAGAAAUUGGAAGAAAAAAUUUCAAGUUCAAAUAAAAGACAUCAGCAACAAGAAUUCAAAUCUUUACAAACCUGACAUAACAAAACUAUAGUCCAAAGUAAAAUUUAUGAAAAUAUACCUGUUAGCAAGUACAUAAUUGUGCUUUUGCCACCAAAGCACUCUUUAUUGUUAAUAAAUAGUUUCUUUUAGUAACUACCUUACAAGUACAUUUAAAUAUUUAUGAUCAUUAUUUGUAUAUAAUAAAAGUUGGAAGGUAUCCUAGGUAAAAUAUAAAAGAGAUACAAGUCCAUGCCAGUGGUGCAGCCAGUAACCCAGGGGCACUUUUGUAAAAUGCUCUCUCCCCAUAUCCAUAUAACACUUUCUCUUCUUUUCUCCCACCAUCACACCAAUCCAGAGUCUUAUCCCCCCUUCCUCGAUUCUUGCAGAAACCUCCACAUUCACAGUCAAUGUGGUUUUUCUAUACUACUGCCAGAAUGUUUCUUUCAAAAUGCAAAUGCCAACCAUAUUGUGCCCACGUAUGCCCCUUUCGCACUCUCCUGAUUAAAAUGUCAGCAGCUCUCCAUUGCCUUUUAGAGUGAGGACAAGAUACAUAGUCUAAUUUCCACCUGCUUUUCACAUCUCACCGUCCUCAUCCCCACUACUAGGUCUCUGCUCCCUGGAGUUUUCCUCCCAUUCCUGCACAAAGGUUCCUUCAUGCAAGAACUCCUGCUAUUCUUUUAGAUCUCAGUUCAGUCCUGACUUCAGGCAGGAAGUAAUUCCUGACCUUCCCAAAUGGGCAUCUCACAGCAGUUUCUUCUCCUUUAAAGCACUUACGCUGUUAUAGUUUUCCUAUUUUCAUAGUUAUCUCUGUAAUCAUUUGAGAAAGCUGUCCCCCUCUAAACAGAGGCUCCACAGCAGGGUUCCUCUCACUGCUAGGUGCACACACACAAACACACACACACACACACAUACACACACCAUAGGUACUUUUUCUCACCUUUAGAGCUUCAGAUUCUAGAACAGUGUCAUGCCCAGAACAGAGUUUCAAAUGCUUAGUUGAAUUAAUGAAUGGUCUCCGACUGAGUUCAAAUGUGAAUUUGUCAUCAGUUUGCUUUCCUUAAGCUUAUGUGAACCUACAUGAACUAGAAAUUAUUCAAAGUAUAUAUAAGAUAGUGCAUAUGAGUGGAAGACAGUGACAAAUGCAUUCAAUUCAGCCAAAAUAAUAAAAGAAUAUUUCCUGACACAAGUCAAAAAGCUGAUUUUUUCUAAUCCUGUCUUAGUCAAUACUUUCAAAAGUUAUAUUUUUAAAAAAAUUCCACCAUAAAUACAGAUAUUUCUAGUACCACAUAUUGAGGCUAAGAAUAUACUAAAAUUUAUUUAAUGAGAUUUGGUUAUAUUCCAGCCAAAACAAAUGUUCUCUCCUUUCACCAUACAUGGCAUAAUUCAUGGAUCUUAGAAAUCUGUCACAAUUAUCAAUAUUAAUACCUGAACUUCAUCUCUUUAGGAUAAGGUCACAUCUUUCUAACAGCCUCUGGUUUCAACCUUCUCCACCUCCUCUUAAAGCAAGAAAGGUAGUCACACGCUCAGCAGCUUUAAGGACAUUAUUUAAGUACCAUUUAGAUGUACAGUCCAAUGGUCACUAGAUGCCUGAAGCCAGGAUUAUUGGAGACUGCAGUUCUUGCUAUUGUGCAUUUAUGGAACUGGAGCAGGAGGUAUGAGGGAAGAGAAGAGAAGAGGAAAGAAGAGAAAUUUUUAAAAAGAAAAAGAAGGUAACAAACAACCCAGAAGAGAUUAUCAACCAUUUGUACCAUCUUGAUGACAACAUUUGACAAGGCUCCACUCCAAAGACAAAGGCAUAUCCCACAAGGAGGGGAAAGAAUAUGAGCACUGCCCAUCUCCCAACACGGAGAACCUUUCCUUUUUUCACAGAGGCAGCCCACAAGUGACACUUGAAGUUUGAAGUUUAGGAAAGGGCAGUAAUUGUGCUCCUGACAUGGUAACACUCCUAUAAGCAUCAAAUCAAAACAAAGAACUACCAUAAGGAGGAAAACAUGUAUUAUUACAAAAAAAAAAAAAAAUUCACAUACACCUAAAAUACAUACCUCACAAAAGAUAGCUUUCUUCCUAGCUUUUCUUUUUCAAAAUUUUGAAUGCAAGACAAAUGCCUGUAACAAUAGUUAGAAAACUACAAUAUAAAUAUACACUUUGUGGUCUUUACUGAAACCUGCACUUGAAGUUAUAGUUCAUGGUGACUGCUUUAGAAAUGUCAGUGCCACAACAAACUCAAACUUUUCAUAAUUUGAGGUAUUGCCCAAGACUGAUGUGGCAUUCAUGCAACUGUUUUCAUUUCUUUUACUAAGCUAUUGCUGAUUGCUUCUACAAUUUAAAGAAUUCCAAAUAUGAAUGAAUAUUUAGUCCACUUUUCCCUUUUGAGUGAUCAGCGCAAAAAGAAUUUAAAACAAAUGGCCUUUUCCCAACACUGAGAAGAAGCCUCUGGAAUUAUCCUUAACAUAUAAACAUCAGUAGGAACACCUAGGACAUGAGCUUUCAACUAAAUCAAGGAACUAAUAAAAACAAAAGUGAAGAUAUGACUGAGUAUUUGGGACUAACAGGCAUAGCCAACAAGUCUCAUUUCAAGUUCACUUUGAGUGAUGAAGACCACAGGAAGGCUGCUUGGAUCACUGCACUGAGAAUGCAGAGGCCUCACACUGGCUCAGUGGGAAAAGUCUGUAAUCAAUUAUUGCUGCCUGUCAUAACCAUGGGAGGGGGAACUCCAAGCCCACCUGACACUUAUUUGAUUUUCCCAUUCAGUCCAACCCUCUUCACUUAACAGCUGAGGAACUUGAGGCAUAAGGGGUUUGCAUUUAAGAAUAAAGAGUUGGAGUAAUGGGCCUAAGGGUAGACGGAUGUUGGGAUGUUCUUUGUGGAAUACAGGGAUUCUACGCAGGUUUCUGCCAUUGCAUUCCACAUUCUUAUUGUCUGAAAUUCAACAAUAGAUACAACUAAUGCACAGUUACAUUUCUAUAAUAAUACAGUCUUAGUUCAUGCCUCCAAAACAAAUCAUAAUACUUAAAUAUAUUCUUAAAUCUUUUCAGGCUCCUAACAGCUAUCCUUCUGGAAGGAAAAAAAAAAAUUCUUACUAAAAACUAAUUUCUCUAAGACAUUAAAUCCAAUAAGUGCCCUGUUUUUAUCAGGCUUCAUUCUUUAGCCUUCUUUUUCUCUGUUUAGAGUUUAUAAAUGUAACUGACUUAAUCCCAUUCAGUGUGAUAGAAAAACUGGGAAUGAAGUGUAGAGGAACCUUUAAUGUACCAGCUUCCUCUAAAAUGUACACCAAGAUGCCCUUGAGUAAUCUCAAAUUAUGACCCAUUUCCCUUGAAGAUUACAGCAAGCAGUAUGGAAUAUCCACUGGCCCAGAAUUUACCUUCUAUAACCACACCCAGUAUAGAAUUACUUCUCAGAAAUCAAAAUGAAAUGUUCCGUAUAAGCAAACAGUUGUUGCGAUUGUAAUAACUGAACAUCUAAUAUCUAUCCUAACAUAAAAUAAUCCAUUACUAAUAGGUGUUACUCUUCACUUAAAGUUCCCCACAUAACUUAGUUUUUUUUUUUUUCUCCUUGUAUACAGAUAUAUUUAUUUUAAAACUUAAUUGAGAGCACUCACAAAGACAAGAGCAUUCACAAAGACAAGCAAAUGUCUACAAAAGGCUCCUGGUGAGGAAACAGUCCAAAACCAUGAAGAAGGGUUGUAAUGUAUGCCUUAUGCAUACUUAGAUUCUUUCACCAUAUUUUUUAGAACUCUCUAUAUUACAUAUGCAUUGGAAAAUCAGUGGCAAGUCUAUCAUGUGAGCCUUCCUCCAAAAAUCCUUUAAUGCAGAUAAUACAUUAAAAAAAAAAAAAAAGCAAGGGAUAGAGUAGUCCUAGGGUAUAUUUUAUGGCUUUUACUGCUUUGCCUCUCCAGCUGCCCAUUGAAGAGAUAUUUUGGCUCAGGUUUACCUAUCAUGGCAGCAUGGGCCCAUGGGGACCCAUGGAAGGUAAUGAGGGGCUCCAUUAACCAGUUUCAUUAUUUCAGAAGGCCUAAGGGAAUAGCACACUCACCAAUAACAAGACCGCUAAAGCUAGAGUGUCAAAUUACUUUGCUUUGGGGCAAAAUCUUAUCAAUUUCAUAUAAAAACACUUAUUACCUCAUGCUGAUCAGAGUCUCUGAUUGGCAACUAUGUAUGUGUUUGAUUAAUAAAGUGUGAAAUAAAAACAAAUGAA